rnacentral:tRNA from 2 species
GCCUCCGUGGUCUAGAGGUCAGGACAUCGCCCUCUCAAGGCGGCAACACGGGUUCAAUUCCCGUCGGAGGUGCCA